UCAGGAUGAACGCUAGCUACAGGCUUAACACAUGCAAGUCGAGGGGCAGCAUUGAGAUAGCUUGCUAUUCAGAUGGCGACCGGCGCACGGGUGAGUAACGCGUAUCCAACCUUCCCUAUAGUAGAGAAUAGCCCGGCGAAAGUCGGAUUAAUGCUCUAUGUUUUCCAAUGCAGACAUCUAAAAUGGAACAAAGGUUUACCGCUAUAGGAUGGGGAUGCGUCUGAUUAGGUUGUUGGCGGGUAACGGCCCACCAAGCCAUCGAUCAGUAGGGGUUCUGAGAGGAAGGUCCCCCACAUUGGAACUGAGACACGGUCCAAACUCCUACGGGAGGCAGCAGUGAGGAAUAUUGGUCAAUGGGCGAGAGCCUGAACCAGCCAAGUAAGCGUGCAGGAUGACGGCCCUAUGGGUUGUAAACUGCUUUUAUACGGGGAUAAAGUGAGGGACGUGUCCCUUUUUGUAGGUACCGUAUGAAUAAGGACCGGCUAAUUCCGUGCCAGCAGCCGC
rnacentral:rRNA from 1 species